rnacentral:sRNA from 1 species
UACACAAGGGGGUCGCGGGUUCGAAUCCCGCC